AGUUAGAUGUAGCUAGCCAUAGGUAGUUGUUAGUUAGAAUUUUACCCAUCGCCUUUAGGUCAUCUUUCCAGUGGCGAAGAGUAGAAAUUGACAACAUUCUCGAUCGGACCCUUUUAAUCUGUCACACUUCAGUAGAUACAAGAUCGGAUUAUUCUAGGUGGAUCAUUUAGCUCGUAGAAAGAUGAGAAACUUGUAGGAGAUCAUAG
rnacentral:lncRNA from 1 species